rnacentral:rRNA from 1 species
GACGUACGCUGGCGGCGUGCCUAAUACAUGCAAGUCGAGCGAAUCGAUGGGAGCUUGCUCCCUGAGAUUAGCGGCGGACGGGUGAGUAACACGUGGGUAACCUGCCUGUAAGACUGGGAUAACUUCGGGAAACCGGAGCUAAUACCGGAUACUUUCUUUUCUCGCAUGAGGGAAGAUGGAAAGAUGGUUCUGCUAUCACUUACAGAUGGACCCGCGGCGCAUUAGCUAGUUGGUGAGGUAACGGCUCACCAAGGCAACGAUGCGUAGCCGACCUGAGAGGGUGAUCGGCCACACUGGGACUGAGACACGGCCCAGACUCCGACGGGAGGCAGCAGUAGGGAAUCUUCCGCAAUGGACGAAAGUCUGACGGAGCAACGCCGCGUGAGCGAAGAAGGCCUUCGGGUCGUAAAGCUCUGUUGUUAGGGAAGAACAAGUACGAGAGUAACUGCUCGUACCUUGACGGUACCUAACCAGAAAGCCACGGCUAACUACGUGCCAGCCGCCGCCGUAA